UUUCUUCGGAGAUUCCACUUUGAGAUGGACCCGCGGCGCAUUAGCUAGUUGGUGAGGUAACGGCUCACCAAGGCAACGAUGCGUAGCCGACCUGAGAGGGUGAUCGGCCACAUUGGAACUGAGACACGGUCCAGACUCCUACGGGAGGCAGCAGUGGGGAAUAUUGAACGAUGGGGGAAACCCUGACGCAGCAACGCCGCGUGAAUGAAGAGAGGCCUUCGGGUUUAAAGUUCUGUCUUCUGGGACGAUAAUGAC
rnacentral:rRNA from 1 species